CUGGAGCCAUUCUCGUAGUCCCAAGCAUGUCAGAACAACCCAAUCCUGUUAGACAAGUUGCAUUAGUAUAUGUUAACUUCAGCAUUAAAACAGCUUGCAACAAAAUUGCUUAGCAGUAGCAACCCUCCAAAAUUUAAAUGCAAGCAUUAAAAAAGUAUCUAAAUCCAGGUUUAGGGUUGGACUGGCCGCUUGUUUUCACCACUCAUCACAGGUCCUAUCACCUACAAAAUAAAUUUAAAACUGUUUUGCUAUAUUCAAAUUCAAGGUGGAACUCAAGUAUUCAGCCUCCCCUAUUACUGAGGCAGCAUGAAAAUUAGACUGGUGUGAUCUCCAGAGGUACGAGGGCUUGAAAACUCCACCUGGUGAACAGCCUCUUUCAUCCCACUAAAGAAGAAAUCUUCUAAGCUCAAGAAUUUGGCAGAACAAAUUUUCAUAAUGAAGAUGCCUCAUAGCACUAAGGUGUCUGGAGUUCCACAGGAUUGGCUACAAGAUUCAUCAUUGGUGUGAGAUCUAAGGUGCAACUGACUUGAGAGUACAGACAUUUGGACAGAUAAAAUCAUAGGGUUAGAAGGGCGAGAGGCGGAAGCGGAGUAGACGGGGGAGCCGCGGUCGUCGAUCCCAUGCCGUGAGGAUGGGAGCACAGGACAUGUUGCGGUAACCAUGGACAGAGGUGCUGAACUGAGUUCCUAAAGGACAGGGAAAUUGCUAGCACAUCACAGCUACUGGGGAUGAUGGAAAGACAAACAAUCUGCCUGAAGCACAGGGCUUUGAAAGCACAAACUUGUCUGCAUGCAACUUUUAAAAUGAUGAUUAUUAUUAUUAUUAUUAUUAUUACUUUUAAAUGGUUUAACUUUGCAGAGCAUUAUGUGCGUUCAACUCAAUUUUUUACUGUUCUAAACCUUGAACACAGUGUGUUCAUUGUUAUUUAUUAAGAAAUCAGUGAAAAUAUCUUUACAUUUAUGGUUUUGAGUCUUACACAAUUCACUGAAAUGCCCAGCUUCAUUGUCAUAAAAUCCACACAUUUACUAUACUUAAAUCCUCACAUAAAGUGUGAUAAAAUGCACAUAUGAAGCAUGAUAAAAUCCUUGCACCACUGCAGAUACACAUGAAGUUGUGCACUAAUCAUAAUUAAAGCCUUAUACAAAAGCAAUACAUUGUUCACAUGCAGCCCCAACACUCAAGUUUGUAGGGAAAUGUAUCGCUGACUGUGUGCCCCUGAGUAGUUACAGCAUUCUACAGAGGUCGCCUCUCUGGCAGUUCAAAACUUUCAGCAAAUCUGUCCACUUCCUCCUCCCAUACAGCCACAAGGCUUUCUCCCUUGCUCUCACAAAAGGUUGUGCAAAACACAGCAAGCAGCUAUCAUAAAGAAGUAGAUAUCUCAUCGGCCCCGAACCCCAACAACAGGCUCCUUCAUCUACCUGUUAAUCUCCCAAAUGCACAUUCCAAUGUCAUUCUACAAAUACUCAGGAUACAUUAAACAGCUCCUUUUUCUCAUCCAAGUAAAAAGUAAGCUGCAUCUCCCAGAUGACUGAAAGAAUGGCAACAACAUCAAUGUCUGCAAUGACCAUCGGAGUAAAUGUUUCUAUUAUCAUUGGAGAAAACAGUUCAAAUUUUCUAAAGUUCCUGGAUCAUGGACCUUUCCACUGUGAUCAAGCAAACCUUGCAGCACCACGGUGAAAUGGCCUUUCUAUUGAUGAACACUGAGACCUGGUAUGGGAGAGCAAAGAAUAGGUAUGUGUCCCCACAACUGGGGAACCCCAACCACGGAAACCAGUUAAUAAACUCCUGUAUUUUGCCCAGCCAGAUGACCUGGGAUGACAGCACCUCCUUGAUAGCUGCACACAUAAAAAAUAAAUAGAUGAUGGGAUGAAAGGAGAGGAAUCAUAGGAAUUAUUUAAUUUGAUCCCAACCCUCCGAAUUUCAGUAGUUUCUCACAUGGCACAGUGCAAAAAAUCCCUGAAUGCACACAGUACAGCCGUGGAGCAAUGCACCAUGGGAUGUCUACUUAGAAGCUGAGUGCUUACUUCAAAACUUUGCAGUGCUGUCUGGCUGCAACAAUACAAACUAAAAGUACCAUAACUGGAGAACAACAAUAUGGUGACUAACAAGGCACCUUAAAGACUAACAGAUUUAUUUGGGCAUAAGCUUUCAUGGGUGAAAAAAACCCACUUCUUCACAUGCUAGGAUCUUGCAACUUAUGGCAGUUUUCAUAAAGUUCAUGAAUCUCUUACCAAAAUGAAAAUGCAUCUGUGAUGGCAGUUCACGGUGCGAUACAGACUAAUAAGAGGUUGUGUCACCAUGUGCCCUGCAAUCCUGGAGGCCUUGCAAUGCUCUUACUGCUCAAGCUCCCAGCCUGGGAUCUCACUUCAGACGUGGGUUUUUUACCAAUGAAAGCUUAUGCCUAAAUAAAUCUGUUAGUCUUUAAGGUGCCACUGAACUCCUCGUUGUUUUUGUGGAUACAGACUUACACAGCUACCCCUCUGAAUAUGGUGAAUACAAACCAUUCAUCCAACCGUUGUGAAUCACUUAAUGUGGAUACACAAAACCUGCAACAAGUUUCAAGUACAGACAUGCCCUAUGGGGUUCAGAUUGCCUAGUUGGCAGGGAAACCGACAUUCCAAUUGUUUAUUCAAUUGAAUCUAGAGAAAGAGAUGAAUUACUUUGAACACCAUAUCCAGUUAAUAUUAUAACCAUUUAACCAGAGCAGACAGGUCCAUAUUCUGAAAUUUAAUGUAGUUGUGCAAAACCAAAAUACCCUUCUCCUUACCUUGAAACAAAAAAUAGACCACUUUGACUUAUCCCAUGAUCUGGAUGAUGGAAUGAAGUGCACCCUCAGCAAGUUCACAGAUGAUACCAAGCUGGGAGGAGAGGUAGAUAGGCUGGAGGGUAGGGAUAGGAUCCAGAGUGACCUAGACAAAUUGGAGGAUUGGGCCAAACGCAAUCUGAUGAGGUUCAACAAGAACAAGUGCAAAGUCCUGCACUUAGGAAGGAAGAAUCCCAUGCACCAGUGUAGGCUGGGGACCAACUGGCUAAGCAGCACUUCGGCAGAAAAGCACACGGGAAUUACAGUGGACGAGAAGCUGGAUAUGAGUCAGCAGUGUGCCCUUGUUGCCAAGAAGGCUAAUAGUAUAUUGGGCUGAAUCAGUAGAAGCACUGUCAGCAGAUCAAGGGAAGUGAUUAUUCCCAUCUAUUUGGCACUGUUGAGGCCACAUCUGGAGUAUUGUGUCCAUUGUUGGUUCCCCCACUACAGAAGGGAUGUAGACAAAUUGGAGAGAUUCCAGCGGAGGGCAACAAAAAUUAUUAGGGGGCUGGGGCACAUGACUUAUGAGGAGAGGCUGAGGGAACUGGGAUUGUUUAGUCUGCAGAAGAGAAGAGUGAGGGGGGGAUUUGAUAGCAGCCUUCAACUACCUGAAGGGGGGGGGUUCCAAAGAGGAUGGGGCUCAGCUGUUCUCAGUGGUGACAGAUGACAGAACGAGGAGCAGUGGUCUCAAGUUGCAUUGGGGGAGGUCUAGGUUGAAUAUUAGGAAACACUAUUUCACUAGGAGGGUGAUGAAGCACUGGAAUGGGUUAACAGAGAAGUGGUGGAAUCUCCAUCCAUAGAGGUUUUUAAGGCCUGGCUUGACAAAGCCAUGGCUGGAAUAAUUUAGUUGGUGUUGGUCCUGCUUUGAGCAGGGGAUUGGACUAGAUGACCUCCUGAGGUCUUGUCCAACCCUAAUAAUCGAUGAUUCUAUGUGGUGGUGUUUUUUUUCAGCAUGUCUAAUGGCACAAUAUUUUCACCAUUUUGAUAUCAAUAAAAUUCUAAAGUUUUUAAACCAUACACAUAGGACACAACUUUCAUCACAGAGAGUAGAUCCAUCUUGUUAUAGCUGCAGAAUUCCCUAAAUUAUAAGCAAUGGAAUACAUCUUCUUAGAUGGUGAAGAACUUCAGCAAGCAACCAAGAUCAUGGCAGUGGAUAUAUCCCCAGAACUGGAUGAUCUAAAGUGAAAUUUUAUGUAUCACCUCAGCUUUGCUCUUUUUUCCGUCCUACAGUAUUUGGAGCAGAGUCUUCCCUGUGGGAACGCUGAAAGUUGAAAUCCGUUCACUCUCUCACACACAAAAAAGCAAAGACCCUGAGAUUUGUGCUUCCUGUAAGCCCCUAUCACUUAUCUACAUAGGUAUAAGCAUCUGGGCCAAGGUCCUAGCUGUUAAGCUACAGGUCAUUCACACUUUAACUGCUCCUUCCCAGGGAGGUUACGUUAAUAGCAGUUUUCUGGCAAUGAUGUCUGACAACUAAUCAGCCUUAUCAAUAGGAUAAUUUAGAGCACAUCCACUCUCUUCAUCUCCACAGAAGCAGAGAAAGCAUUUGACAGAGUAAAUUGGAAUUUUAUGUUUGGCACUUAGAUGUUGUUACAUUCUGGGAUGCAAUCCAGACUGGUGAAGAGUUGUGUCACCUCUUACACUGUAACUCUGAGUGCUUCCAUUGGGAAGCCUUGCUAUUGUUCCUCUCUCCUGGGACAUCCACAGUCAGCAAAAAAUAUGCCACACAGGGGCUAUGGGGCAAUAAACAGGUUGCUGGGGCAGAGCUGCUGAACCAGGGCUGUCUACCACACAGACACUCAGGGUGUGACCUGCGUGCUUGAAAGCUGGCUGUGAGAUCUCAGGCUGGGAGCUCCAGCAGCAGAGCAUUGCAAGACACCCAGCAUUGCAAGGCACACAGUGACACACUUCUUAUCAGUCUGGACUGCACUAUGAACCACCGUCACAGAUGCAUUUUCAUUUUGGUAAGAGAUUCAUGAACUUUAUGAAAACUAUCAUAAGUUGCAAGAUCCUACCAUGUGUCUUCUAACCAACAGCCUUCAGGGGGUGUUGUUUCAUGUGGGCACAGUUGACCAAUAUCCUGAUUGUUUCUCACCCUCUGACAUUUGCCACUAGUGAACACCCAAACAUUACACAGUACUCAAAUAGACAAGACAAAUUAUCCUUGGGUGCUGACAACAUACUGCUUGAAGUCAUCGACCCAGCCACUUCCAUUCCUAAAUUACAUGCCCAUAUUACAGAGUUGGGAGGAUAUCCGGUUUUAAAGAUUAAUUGAGGGAGAUGGCAUCCAGGACAGGGCAAGGUAACAUUCUGGAGAACCUGCACUAAAAGCCUUCCCCUUUAGGUAAUCCCCCAAAGUACUGUCAAUAUUUUGACACAAGAUGACAACAAUAUUUUCCGGACUUAGCCUGUGAAAAAUCCAGUGAAAUCAGCAUACAUAUGUUCACUGAGAAGGUGAAUUGGUAAAUCUAUACACUUAUUUAGCAAUUGAAACAAAAACCACUUUUUCAUUACUAUAAAGAGGGAAGGAAGUGUCACUUGACAAGAGUCCCAGAAAGAGUUUUCUCUUCUAAUAUCAAAUAAGUAAUGUAGGGAUAAUAGUGUUGUUCUUAUUCUAAAGCCUCUCUCUCUCUUUCUCUCUGUGUCUCUCUCUCUCUCUCUCUGUUAAUGGAAUAAUUUCCUGAAAAGUAUUUAAAGUGAAAUGCUGCCUCUGACAGACACAGGAGUGAGCUUCCAUUAACUUUUGUAGUAGUUGCAUAUGUGUACCUAAGAGCAGAAUGUGGCCCUUAGUGUUUCAGUGGAAUACCUGUUCCAUUAUUAAAAUCAAAUAUGGCACUACCUUCAAUAAGACUUCCUUCCAAAGUAAGGGCCCAAUCCUGCAAACAUUUAUGCAUGAGUAUAUUUGCUCACCUUAAUAGUUACACUGAUGCCACCUGUGCAAAUGAAGUUACUCAUGUGCAUAGAGGUUUGCAGGAUCAGGACCUUACCUACCACUCAGCAUACAGGUUGGCAGAAUCUGGCACUAAAAUUUUGCUAUGGCACAAUCCUGCCCGCAAUCUUGUCCACAGAUAUACAGGCUUAUAAUAGUCUGGGUGUUGAAAAUCAGCUAUUGUUAUUGGGCCUCAAUGAACAGCAGCUGAUUUCAAAGAUACGUGCUUGUAUUUCUGCUGGCAGGCAGUAAUGGAGACAUCUAUUUACAUCUUAAUGUAAACACAGCCCUAGAACAACUAUUUGUGGGGAAACAUCACACAACUCUACCAUUGCGAAAUGUGUAAGGUGUAACACACUUGUGAUUAUAAAAUAAUUUCUAUGCUCAGGAAAAUAUACCCUUACAUUCUUAAAACAUAGCAACCAACAAACCUCCUAAACAAAGGUCUGCCCUGAUUCUAAUCACCAAACGUUUUCAAAAGCCAGACUUAGGCCCUGAUUCUGUGAACACUUAUCUAUCAGUAUAAACUUACUUGCAGGAGAAAUCCUAAUGAGCCUAAUGCAAGUAAAGUUAUAUACCUGUAUAAGUGUUUGCAGGAUCAUGACCUUAAGAAGAAUCUAUUGUUGGAAAGAUUUGUCAGAGUUGUCAGAACAUUAUAAAGACCACAGAAAAAAAGACUGUUCCUUAAAAAAGUCAGUUAACUACCUUCACAGCAAUGGAUCACCCAUCAAUUGAUGCAGCUCAGCAAGCAAUAAUUACUUGUUAACUUAUACUGGCGAGACAGUUUUUACCCGAAGGCAACAAGAGUGUUUUGGCAUAUAUUAAGAUUUAAACAGAUGUGUCUGUUACAGCUGAUGUGUAACUAAGGACCUACAGAGUCUGCAAAACUUUACCAUUUUAGGUUAAUGUCAAAUUAUGUAAAACACAUUUACAAAGAUGUUCUGUACUGUCCUUGAUCCCUAAACCUUGAUCUGAUUGAUCUGCUAUUUAUAAAUCCUCUAUCAGUUUCAUGUAGAAUCUGCCCUGUAUUGUUUCUAAAUAACAAGUACAAUAAAAUUUCCUUUAUCAGCCUCUUCUUCUGCUAAUCUUUUCAAGGUUUUUCAUAUUCCACGCAUCAGACUAGCAUUAUAUUGCAUCAUUAUGUGUAUUUUCAAAAACUCACUUAGGGAUUGUCUAUUGUAGAAUAAGAACAUGCACACAAGGAUCUAUUCUAGAAUAGCUAGUCUGGUCAAUUUUCCGUCGUAGAUAAGCCCUUAAAGAGAUUUAGCUGACCCUUUGUCAUAAACAGAUAGUUAAGGGUUAAUGUCUCUUUUACCUGUAAAGGUUUAACAAACAGUGAACCGGACACCU